ensembl:lncRNA
GAAUACAACCCUGGAGUAUGUGAUAACUUUAUCACUCUUUUCUACACCACUAAAACUGAAUGCAAAUCAGCUAGGGAAUGUGUUCAUUUUUACCUAUCAGUGCUGUAGACAGAUAAAGCUCUGUUUGUCCUGGCCUCUGUGGCAUGUUGAUAUCUUGGACCAAACACCAAUUCGGGCUGUGUUCUUUUGUGCAGAAAGGGACAGGAGCAAUUUAGAUCACCCUUAGGCAACUUUCAUUGUCUCAUUCCUGUUCCCUUUCUUGGCACUGAUUACUUAUCUUGGCUCUCCUAUUAACUUCUGUGUGACUUGAGGGAUACAGAAAUUUAACAACUUUCGUGAUCAUCUCAUUUGUAAAAUGCAACUAAUCUACUUACUGUGGCAAUGAGUGGAAUUCCUAAUAACACUAGGCAACUCUAAUUACUUGAAUGACUAGAAACAAUUUGCCACACAUUUGGAGGCAAGACACAGGUUAUAUAAAAUGUUCCUCAGUGUAACAUAUAGAUGCCUCUACAAUGUAUCCCACUGCAUAGGAUAAAAACUAGCCCAGGUGUACUGUGUUGCUGUCUUUAAAAGAGUUUGGGAUAGUUUUCUUCUUUAAUUUUAGCCAAAUAAUUUAUAUAAGAUACUCAGAUUAAAUUUAAAUACACUGGAAUAUAGAUCCAUGAAAUUACUCUUCCUACUUCAAGAUAAUUUGUUGGAUUUUAUCAACUAAUUCCUUUUAUGAAGAAUUUAUAAAUGCUUUUGUACCAAAUACUCUUAGUUUCCUUCUCCUUUGCUACUUGCAUCUAGGCUUGGCCUUAUAACAAUAAUUCUGGUCAGUGAAACAUUAAUGGAAGACUACUAGGAUAUUCUUGAAAUGGUUUUUCUUUUCUAAUAAAUGAAGCAGAGGCUACUGAUACUAUUCAUUCUCCCACAUUAUCAAGCUGAAAGAAAUCUACAGUAACUAUCUUGAGCAAAAUACCAAAAUAAUAAAAAGAACAAGGAGAUGACUUUGUUGAGCUAUUAAAUCAAUGUCCACAGCUUCCUACUUUCAAAAUUCUAAUAAUGUGAGGAAAAAUAAACCUUCAGUUAAAUCUCUAUAAGUGGACUUAUUUUAAGUUAAACACAUUCUUGAAACAAGAGACUAUACAUGUACAUGCAAUUGUAUAUAUGCACAUAUGCAUAUGUUAAUGAAGUAAGAAAUUUGAGGGGGAAGGGUAUAAAAAAAUCAGUUGUAUGAAAUACAGGUUAAUAUUACUGUGAGGUUAAUAAAAAACAUUAUUUUAGCAAAAUCAGUAUAAUUGUAAAUAAUUUUUAAAAUUACAAUGUUAUAAGCAUACACCGAAAUGAGAAAACCCUCAAUAAUCAGGAAGCAAUCACUUUCUAAUAUCCCACAGCCCACUCUCACCCCAUCCAUCCAAUAAACACCUUCAUCACAGAGAAGACAAGAAUUUGAGACUUAAUCACCAAGUAUGUAUUACCAAGUUUCUUAUUAAGGAAACUCUGAAUUUACUGUAAUUUAAAAGACAAAAAAAUUAAAGGAAUUCAGUAAAUAUUUCUCAAAUGCAUUUUUGAAAGCAGUGCUGUGCUAGCACUGCAAAGUAUACAAAAAAGUAUGAUUCUUAAUAUUUCCCUCUUUAAGAAGCUUACCAUAAACAUUGAAUAAAAUUUUUAAAAACUUCAGGCUUAUAAUCACACUGCAGCAAAUAAAAUUUAAUGUCAAUUUUAGGUAUGUAGAAAGUGGGUUUUUAUUAGUAAAAUCCAAGUCAUUUUGGUUAUUGUUAAAAAGUGUGCCUAGCUUUUUCGUGCUUACGUUCUAAAAUAUUAACAGAUUAAUAAUUCUCUGUUACAAUAAAAAUCUUUAGUACCACUGUACUGUAUAUAAACCUGUAAUAGAACUCUUGUAAUGAAAUGUUUAAAGAAAAAAAAAUGAAGCCUUCAAGUCUUGAGUGUCUGCUUCCUCAAUUAAUUCAGCAAUCUUUUAUUUAAAUUUAUCAUUAUUGUAAUGUAGAAAACAGUGGGAACGUCUUUUCCAAAGGUUUGAUGACUUGAUAUAUUCAUAGAUUUCAUGGUGAGAGAAAAUAAUAAUCUAAAGCCUAGAAAGACAAUUUGAAAAAUAAAUUUCAUUUAAAGUACUCCACAUUGCUAAUGAAUGACCAAAGGUAAUUUGGAUUCUGCUUUAAAGACAUGUCAAAAAUAUUAGCUUUAUCAAGUAUCCAGAGAAAUGAAAUAGCCUGUAUUUUAAAGUAGAAGGGACACAUUCAUAAUGGCAAGAAGUAGGGCAGAAUAGGGACAAUGAGAUUGAUUCCAUAAUGAAGUACUUCCCAAUCUAAUGAAACUUUCAUGUUCAGACUCUACUGCAUGAAAGUAAAAGGAACAUGUAUUCUUAAAGAAAUUCUGUCAGAAAUUGUGCCUAACUUUAACUGUUGGAAGCCAAGGUCAUUCACUGUUCUUUGAGAAGAAUUUAAUUUCCAUACAGUAUUUGCAUUUUUAUCCUACAUCUAUUUGUCCCAAAUUACAUGACAAAGAAAUUCUCUUUCUUAUCAAUAACAAAACCUGCAAUUGUCUGGUGUCCAGUUUCAUUGCAAGUGUUGUUCCCUUUUUCAUACAUUUUGCUGGCAGCUGUGAUAGUUGAAUGGAUGCCCCAAUUUCCUUGGAGUAUGGGUGGCAGCAGCUGGAGGUUAGAGUUCAGCUCUAGGAAGGACUAGGAUGGCGUCUAACAUAAAUCAAGAAGAUACAAGUCAAAUGAAAGUAAGUCAACAGAAGCAAACAUAUCAUUUAUAGGAAGUGAGGGGUCACAUCUGAUUUGCUUAUCACUGUACCACCAGCACCUGCUGCAGUGCCUGGCACUAGUAGCUUCCCAAUCAAAAGUUAUUGGAUCACCAGUUUAAAGGAAAAAGGUCAGAAUUAUCUUAGGAGUGUUAAGACAAACACAUUAGCAACAAGGAUAGAGUGUGCUGCAAAAAUCUGUUUUGAGUUGAAAUGUGUGUUAUAUACUUAGAGUCAAAAUUCAGAAGUACUCAGAGUUGUGGGGCUUGAGUCUACAAGUGGAAGAAAUAGUCUUGCCUGCAAGACAGCAUCUCAACCCUUAUGGUCAGUAUAGCUGACCAGUAUAACAACCACCAAAAAAAGGGGGGGGGGCGCUCAUCUCAGCAAAUAAAGUAUCACACAUCACUUACACUCACAUUCCAUUGUUCAAAGAUAAGUCACAAGGCCAUGCCAAAGGUGUGUAGAAAAAAAUACUCUCACUUUGCUCAGGAAGAAGGGAAGAACCUGGAAAAUGCUGAGUACUUGAGCACUAGCACUGUCUGUUAUAGUCUCCACUUCAGAACAUCACAUAAUUGUUUCAUUCUUUUUCCCAUCAGAGGACAUUCUUAUUUCUCCUCCAUCAAGGCAACCCCAAAUCCUAAUUUAGUUACCGGAUCCAGGUUAAAACAUAGGGACAAUACAUGGGAUCUUCUUCAUGAGAUCUGAAUGUGGUUCCUUGUGGGUUAGCAGAUGAGAAUUAAAAGAAAAAGUAACCCACAGCCUCAUACAUAGCAAUAAUAUGCAAUGAUGGAGUAUAACCCCCCCC